GACGAACGCUGGCGGCGUGCCUAAUACAUGCAAGUAGAACGCUGAAGAGAGGAGCUUGCUCUUCUUGGAUGAGUUGCGAACGGGUGAGUAACGCGUAGGUAACCUGCCUUGUAGCGGGGGAUAACUAUUGGAAACGAUAGCUAAUACCGCAUAACAAUGGAUGACACAUGUCAUUUAUUUGAAAGGGGCAAUUGCUCCACUACAAGAUGGACCUGCGUUGUAUUAGCUAGUAGGUGAGGUAACGGCUCACCUAGGCGACGAUACAUAGCCGACCUGAGAGGGUGAUCGGCCACACUGGGACUGAGACACGGCCCAGACUCCUACGGGAGGCAGCAGUAGGGAAUCUUCGGCAAUGGGGGCAACCCUGACCGAGCAACGCCGCGUGAGUGAAGAAGGUUUUCGGAUCGUAAAGCUCUGUUGUAAGUCAAGAACGAGUGUGAGAGUGGAAAGUUCACACUGUGACGGUAGCUUACCAGAAAGGGACGGCUAACUACGUGCCAGCAGCCGCGGUAAUACGUAGGUCCCGAGCGUUGUCCGGAUUUAUUGGGCGUAAAGCGAGCGCAGGCGGUUUGAUAAGUCUGAAGUUAAAGGCUGUGGCUCAACCAUAGUUCGCUUUGGAAACUGUCAAACUUGAGUGCAGAAGGGGAGAGUGGAAUUCCAUGUGUAGCGGUGAAAUGCGUAGAUAUAUGGAGGAACACCGGUGGCGAAAGCGGCUCUCUGGUCUGUAACUGACGCUGAGGCUCGAAAGCGUGGGGAGCGAACAGGAUUAGAUACCCUGGUAGUCCACGCCGUAAACGAUGAGUGCUAGGUGUUGGAUCCUUUCCGGGAUUCAGUGCCGCAGCUAACGCAUUAAGCACUCCGCCUGGGGAGUACGACCGCAAGGUUGAAACUCAAAGGAAUUGACGGGGGCCCGCACAAGCGGUGGAGCAUGUGGUUUAAUUCGAAGCAACGCGAAGAACCUUACCAGGUCUUGACAUCCCGAUGCUAUUUCUAGAGAUAGAAAGUUACUUCGGUACAUCGGUGACAGGUGGUGCAUGGUUGUCGUCAGCUCGUGUCGUGAGAUGUUGGGUUAAGUCCCGCAACGAGCACAACCCCUAUUGUUAGUUGCCAUCAUUCAGUUGGGCACUCUAGCGAGACUGCCGGUAAUAAACCGGAGGAAGGUGGGGAUGACGUCAAAUCAUCAUGCCCCUUAUGACCUGGGCUACACACGUGCUACAAUGGUUGGUACAACGAGUUGCGAGUCGGUGACGGCAAGCUAAUCUCUUAAAGCCAAUCUCAGUUCGGAUUGUAGGCUGCAACUCGCCUACAUGAAGUCGGAAUCGCUAGUAAUCGCGGAUCAGCACGCCGCGGUGAAUACGUUCCCGGGCCU
rnacentral:rRNA from 1 species